CCCGGAAUCGGGUAGUAAGGAGGUAGUGUCCGACCACUAGGAGGGUUGGUGCGGCGGGGGAGGGUGGAUCGGAUCCCAAGGUGGUCUCUCGUUUUCCCGUAGCCCCCAGUCAAUACGCGGCGGCGGACGGCACGCGGGUAGAAGGGGGAGGGCGGCGGCGUUAACGGCAGCCUACGGCGCUUACUCCUAGGUCACGGCGUUGAGCACUCGGAAGUCGACAGUUUAAGUGCCACUGGAUUAGAAGAGCCCGCAGCGGCCUAGAAGCACCGUCGGUACCGCUUCCCGUUCUUUCAACUAUCCGAGUCGCGUGACGGACUACUGCAAGACCAGUUGUAAGAACUGGCUGAGUUACAGGCACUCCGACGUUCUUGGUCGUAGGAGAGCUCUGCCACCUGAGUCGAGACGCGGUUCGACAGAGCCGAAUAUUAUUCGUGAGACCUAAAGGACGGUUUCCCACACAACACGUGGCUGUAGAGACUACUACUUAACAAGGCGUAGUUACGUCGACACCAAGUUCGCUGUCUAUCGUAUAACUGUGCGUCUUUAGGACCUCUCGUGUGCUAGGCGGAAGACAGGUGUUCCAAGAUGAACUCUCUACUACAGGGGUAUAGGUAACCCGCACGACAACCAGUACGGUACCGCCGUGUGAACCAACUGUUACGGUUUAAGUCACAAUACUGUCCCUUCAUACUCUAGUCACUGUACCGACUCCUACUAGACUAGUGGAGACGCUCUUUAAAGUACAACAAGAAACUACGGACAGGUUCACGUAAACCACCAGAGUGAUGGGAACUGGAUCUCUUAAACUCUAAACCCCUUAGUCUGUAUAGGUUGCAGGAGUAGUGAACGUUCGCGAACUUCGUAGAGGCAAACAUGUUAACACUGAGACCACUAACGUCGUGCGACGUUCAACUCGUGCGAGUAGAGUCACUCGAAUCAUAGCAGGUGACAUACGAACUUGCUCAACUCGACUUCACCGAGGGAGUUGAGUGUUGCUACCAGAAACUUCCAACCGAUGUUAAGGUUCUAGGUGACAAGUAACCCGUACAGGGUAACGACCUCCAACAUUCGGAGUGUUUAGAACGGGAAUCAAUGGUGUUCUACCACAACAAUUCACUCAAAGAAUCGCCAUGGAGAUAUGCUCUAGACUUCAACCGUAAAUUAAGACUUUUCUAAACCCACGUCGGUCUUAAAGGCUGCGGUACAGACAGUAGACAAAAGGCGGUUGAUUCCAAACAAUUAGACGAAGUAGAAGGACUUCCCAUACUAGAGUGGACCUGUUACAUAUAAGAACUUCGACGGGGGAAUGACUUCCUCGAUAUGUACUGCCAUACCCUAGUACGGACAUUAUACCUUUACCUGCUCCUCUUCUCCUUUCUUCUUAGCAUAUCACUCUUGGCCCCACAUCUCACCCUGAACCACCGUCGUCUAAAGGUUGUGGUGUCAAACCGGUGUGAGCAGUAAAAACCGAAACUUAGACUUCUAACGAAGCACUUAAUACACUCUGCACAAGACCACCGCCGCCAGUUAGAUCUCCUGCACAAGGACAUAUCAUCCAACCUCACACCGUCGACGUUCCUCUUCUUCGAACCGUCCAUGGGGACCUGAUUUUCCGUCUCCUAGAGGUACUUCUUCUCUGAGUGGUAACCCUAACUCAGCAAACGCUAUAAAGUGAUACCACUCUACUCCGGACCAGUACAUCGUUUUUACCUCAUGGGUCUCACGAGUGACGAGCUCCUUUUUCUCCGUUUUUCCACAACUAAAAUGUCGUACGUCCAUACCCUAGUACACACAUUAUACCUUUACCUGUUCCUCUUCUCCUUUCUUCUUAGUAUAUCACUCUUGUUCCCACAUCUCACCCUGAACCAGCGUCGUCCAAAGGUUGUGAACAGUAAAAACCGAAACUUAGACUUCUAACGAAACACUCAAUACACUCCGCACAAGACCACCGCCGACAGUUAGAUCUCCUACAGAAGGACAUAUCGCCCAACUUCACAGCGUCAACGUUCCUCUUCUUCGAACAGUCCAUGGGGACCUGACUUACCGUCUCCUAAAGGGACUCACUCUGAGUUGCGACCCUAGCUCAGCCCACGGUAUAACGUGAUACCACUCUACUCCGGACCAGUAGAUCGUUUUUACCUCAUGGGUCUCACGAGUUACGAGUUCCGUUUUUUCCCAAAACGCACUCCGAUUUUCCACAACUAAAAUGUCAUCAGUUCACAACAAUAGAAACCAACUCUCGAACAAAGUCACAAAAAACAUGGAGAUUUAACCAUGUAUACCUCCUGUCUUAGCCACGUACACUGAACAACGUUACAAUCGUUUUGUUACCAGAACAAC
rnacentral:rRNA from 1 species